rnacentral:misc_RNA from 1 species
AAAGUCGUAACAAGGUUUCCGUAGGUGAACCUGCGGAAGGAUCAUCAAUGAAUUUUCAAAAUUCAACUUGGCUUUGGUGACUUUUUUGGCCAUGUGCUGGAAGGUUGCCACUGCCUAUCAACCACCAGUCUCUGUCUUUGGCGAAAGUGUGUCUUUUGUAUAAUCAAGAGCUCUUUUUGCAAUUGACUUUGACUUUUUUGAGUUUGGCAGGUUCGCUUGUAGUUUAGGCUUUCGGGCCUUAUCCAACUUGCAACCUCCUUUCUCGCCAUUGUGGGCAAAAACAAAUUGAAAUUAAAAUACAACUUUUAACGAUGGAUCUCUUGGCUCCC